UAAUGUAAACAGAAAAAGGAAGUCCCGCCGAAAACAGGACUUCCCGUGCAAGCCGCUUCAAAGGCGGUGGCCUAGAUUACAAAACUACAUU
rfam:Lactobacillus salivarius TCC118 plasmid pSF118-44, complete sequence.